CCUACGUGAGGCAGCAGUGAGGAAUAUUGGUCAAUGGGCGGAAGCCUGAACCAGCCAAGUAGCGUGCAGGAUGACGGCCCUACGGGUUGUAAACUGCUUUUAUACGGGAAUAACGCGCCUUACGUGUAGGGCUUUGCAUGUACCGUAUGAAUAAGGAACGGCUAAUUCCGUGCCAGGAGCCGCGGUAAUAAGGAAAGUCCGGGCGUUGUCCGGAUUUAUUGGGGUUAAAGGGAACGUAGGCCGCAUGUCAAGCGUGCUGUGAAAUGUCCGGGCUCAACCCGGGCCUUGCAGCGCGAACUGGCGUGCUUGAGUCCGCGGAAAGCAGGCGGAAUUCGUCGUGUAGCGGUGACAUGCUUAGAUAUGACGAAGAACCCCGAUUGCGAAGGCAGCUUGCUGCAGCGGAACUGACGCUGAUGCUCGAAAGCGCGGGUAUCGAACAGGAUUAGAUACCCGAGUAGUC
rnacentral:rRNA from 1 species